rnacentral:lncRNA from 1 species
UAGCUAUAGAUUUAAAAAAUAUCUAGUUGUUUGUUUUUUUUUUCAAAAAAAAUAAAAAAUAUAUAUAUUUAAUCCUUCUUUAAAAGUUGCCUCUCUUCAUAUGUUUGGAAGAGAAAGAAAUACAUAAAGGCGACUAGGUUCGCAAAAGUUUGAGUAAUAUACUCCAGCUAACAGUUAGGUGACAUCUUAAGUUAAAUCCAUCAUGACUUGGACUCAUCUCGGACCAUGAUGAAUUAGACUAAGAAGCAUGAUAACUUCGACUUAGCAAAUAAUAUUUGCUAUGGACAUCUAAGAAUCUCUAUGCGACUGGAAUGAUAUAUUACGUGCAUUGUAACAGGUGAAUUGGUAUGUGGAUAGAUUUUUUAUGUACAUAAGUAAAUAAGGAGAUAGUUAUGGCAUCAGAGCGUUAUCACUAGACAUUUCAGUCAGUUUUUGUAGUUUGAAAUUAAUGAUAUGACUAUAUGGUAAAGUGAUUUAUGUUAAAUUUAGUCUUUAAAGUGAUAGAAUCGUCUCCAUGUAUUUCUUUGAUUUUGGAUAUUAUAUUAUUAAUUAGACUCAACUUAGACAAGAUAGCAGGAAGACACGAUGGCAUGGUAACUUAAAAAGUAGUCUGGGAAUCUUAAAAAAAUAACAUAAACUCGGGAAAGAUGGAAUCGACAACAGCACAGGAUAUUACAUUCAUAUGAAGGAAUGUUCUGUUAAAAGUGUUUAGGUCAUCUAAGGAUAAUUUGUAUUAAGUCAAGAAGAACAUCAUUAUCUUUUCCACUCUCGUUGUACUUUUACAGCGAUUUUGGUAUUUAUGUUAAUGAAUUGCACAAGUUUGAGUUAGGAAGAAUAUGGAAAUGAAAUGAUUAAUCAAUCAACUGUAAUGAAAUGUUUAUAUAUUUGUUCAUCAUAUAUUUUAAUAAUAAAAAUAAAAUAUUUUAAAGAUAUUAACUAUUUAUUCAAGA